rnacentral:rRNA from 1 species
UACGUAGGGAGCGAGCGUUGUCCGGAUUUAUUGGGCGUAAAGAGCUCGUAGGCGGUUUGGUAAGUCGGGUGUGAAAGCUCCGGGCUCAACUCGGAGAGGUCACUCGAUACUGCCAUGACUGGAGGUCCGGUAGGGGGGUGUGGAAUUCCCAGUGUAGCGGUCGAAAUGCGCAGAUAUUGGGAGGAACACCAAUGGCGAAGGCAGCACCCUGGCCGGUACUGACGC